CCCAAAGUGCUGGGUUUACAGGCGUGAGCCACUGCGCCUGGCCCUAGUUGCUCAUUUUUAAUUUUUUCAAAAUGCAUUUUGAAUUUAAGGUACCUUAUUUUGGUAUAAUUCUGAGGAUGCUUAUGAGGUUUUAGUGGGUUCUCUUUACUCUUGCUGUGUGUUUUUGUUUAUUCAAUUAUCAGAUAUUACUGCACUUCAAAUAAGGACCAGAUAAUGUGUUAGGUAUUGGGCAUUCACAGUUGAACUGUGUCACUCAGCUCUUCCAUCUCACAGACUUUAUACUUUAAUGGGACAGUUAGAUAAGUAAGCAGGAAGGUACAAUCCUGCAUGAUAAAUGCUGUGAUAGGGGAAGUACUUCUCUGUUCAUGUUUUUGCCUUUUUCAAGUUUUUGUUCCUGCUGCAACAUCAGCAGUUUGUUUCUCCAGUUUAAAAUGUUUAGCCAAUUUUUUUGACCUUUGUAAGAUGUCAUCAUUUUGAGAUGAUAGAUGAGCUAGACAUGAACUGUUUUUGUGGAUGUGGGAGGAGGCUGAUAGGACUUUACUAAUCUUGUCUGAAACUAAAAGGAAUGUAGUUAUGGCGCAAGAUAGCCAAAUUUGCAGACCUGAAAUACAGUUUAAAAAAUGUGCUUAGUGGUUUAUCUCUGCCAGCUUCCCAAGAUUAAGUUUUGCCAUGCUGCACCCUUGAAUACCACCAGAUAGUUGCUUAUAAAAAACUUGACUUUGCUGACAUUGGGCUUCUGUUUCAUUCCCUCAUAGGUUGUUAUCUUCAUCAGGGUGGGUGGGUGCUCAGGCACCCUCUUGGUCAUGCUCAUGUGUCACGCUGCCUGUCUUUUUUAGGCAAAGGGCACUGUCACAGGAGAGAGCACACAUUCUAGCACAAUUGAGUUGGGGUCUUCAGUUAAUAUUCUAGCAAAGUAAAGGGAAAAACUUCCAAAUUAUCACCAAAGCAUUAAAAAUGUCAGAGUAUUUAGCAGAACAUUAAAAAAUAGAACGGCAAAGUGUUAAAACUUUUUCUUUCUUGAGGACGACAGUAGAUAUUUCCUUAAAGUUUUCCGUCCUUAGUAACUUUGCUGCCAUAUAUCACUGUGGAGUAUUUUAUACAUUGAUAUGGGAUUUGCUUGCUAGUCAGAUACAUCUUUGUUGGAGAUGUUCAGUGUUAAAUCAUAUACAAUAAUAUCAUAUUAGUCUUUGCUACAAUAACUAUUUUUCAAACCACCAAAUUUCUCUUGAGGAGCUGAAUCCCCUACAUAGAAUAGAAUAUUUGUGAAUAUGGAACACAGGAAAGUGGAUUUAAUAACCCACAUGGCUUUAUGCUUCUUACAUUGAUCAGUACAGUGACCUUUUACAGUUUUUCCUCGAGCAGUCAGUACGUGUUUAAACUAAACUUGGUGUUCUCUGGGAGCAGCCAGCACCGUGGCUUUUACUUUUUCCAACCGCUAUUGGACCUUUGUAUAGCUUUCUUCUAGAAGCAUCUCUCUUCCCUUCUUUCUUGAGCCAAGCAUUGAUUCUUGGAAGUUUAGAUGCUAGUAGGAGUGAUGAAUAUCAGAAACAGGAUGUACUACACUUGUAGUAGGCACCGUAAUAGAUAGAGCUAUAGAUAAAGUCCUCUGGGAACUGGAAAGAGUAGAGGUGACCUAUACAUACCAGGAUUAAGCAAGUCUUAUGGAAGAAGUAGCAUUAAAAAUAAUGCUUCAGGCUGGGUGUGGUGGCUCAUGCCUGUAAUCCCAGCCAAGGCAGGAGGAUCAGUUGCUCCCAGAAGUUUGAGACCAGCCUGGGUAACACAGUGAGACCCUGUCUCAAACAAACAAACAAGCAAGCAAACAAACAAAUAAACGGUGAGACCCCAUCUCUGAAUGAAUGAAUGAAUGAAUGAAUGCAUGCAUGCAUGCGUGCAUGCUCCAGAGAGUAAAUUAGGACAUGCCGGUUUUAGGGGCAGGAGAGAGGAAAGAUAGUUUAGUAAAAGUGUAGUUACAAGGGCAGAGAUGGCGCAUAGAAGUAUAGGUCAUAGCUAGAAUUUCAGCUUGUCUGUCGAGAAGUUGUAAUAAAGAGAAGAGAAAGAAAAAAGUUUGAAAAGGUGGCUUAAAUCAGAUCAUGGGGGACCCUGAAUACUGGGUUAAUACAUUACCACCAUUCAUUAGACCAUUAGCGCAUCUCUUGAGAGUCUUGAGGAGAGAAUUAGGUGAACAGUUUGGAGGAUUAAUCUGGGCUGCAAUAUGUUACAUAAAUUGGGGGCAGAAAUAUUGAUGGUAAGGAGAGUAUUGAGAGGUGGUUCCAUCAUUCUUGGGAAGAUGCAGUGAGGACCAUUAAAUUGGUGUUUUGUGUAUUUUUAAUCACAUCUGGUGUUUUGAUCCUUAAAUAUUGAACUUUUGUGUGAAAGGAGAGCUUUAAUUUAUUGGUAUUAAAAUGAAUCAACUUCAGUGUAGGGAAAGGGGCUGGCAUUAAUUUUGGCUGUUAAACAUGCUUUUUUCUAGAUACUGUGCUAGGCAUUAUAGAUCUAAAAGUAAGGAAGAUAGGAUUCCAGCACUUCAGGUUUUUAUGUUUUAGCACAAUAGGAGAUACUGAAUUGGAAUCUUAGUAAUUUCACAUGUUCAGAGCUUAUAGGAUAUCUGCUAUAAGAGGGGCAGUUUAAGAGGAUGUUUGAUGCUGGAAGGAUGGAUAGGAACCAUAUUGUGUCAGACUUCUUUGGCUUAAUUCCUUAGACAAUGGACAAAGCCUUUGAAGGUUCUAUGGAAUAUGUGGUAACAGAUUUCUCCAACACUUCUGAGAAAAAUAGGAUGUAAUAUGGCUUUGUCACUUAAGGAAACAAGGAAUGUUCACUUAGAGUUAGUAUUGAUUGUCAUUUAGACUACUUCAUUUGUGGGUGAAAAAAGCACAAAGAUCAUACUAUGUUAUGCUGUAUUAUUGAUAAUAACUAAAGCAAAAAUAAGAUAUUUUAAACUACCAACUCCAAAUAACAAACCUCUUUAUUGAAACAUUUACAAGGUAUUAACCUACUGUUAGUUUAAUUUAUGCAUAUAUAAUGAUACUCAUUGGAAUUUUAAUGCAGAUUUUGAUAAUUUGUAAAUUUAAGGGUGCCUUGAACAUUAGGAUAUAUUAGUUGGUAGUAGUGAUGUGAGACCAGCUUGAUAGGCUUACAUUCUUAAAUAGGGUGGCCUGAAUUUAGUUUAUCACUCCAAUAAAAGUGUGUGUCUGUGAGGCAACAAAAAUUAUUAUGUUUGAGAAUUUUUUUUGCAAUAAAAUAGUUCAGAACUAACCAAAUACAUUUGUUGGCCAUAUAGGUAGAAGGUUUUCAGUUACAGUAUGAACUGUACUGUUUUUUGCUUCUGAGCAUGUUGAGUGAAGUGAUUUUGAGCUGUCAUUCUUACUCCUGUCUGAGUUGUUUAAAGGAGAUUAAGAGAAAGAAGCUGUUAGUGAAAAAUUAUAUUUUCCUUAAAUUUUGCUGGUGAAUAGCAGGAAAUUUUGGUAUUGUAUAUAUUUCACCCAAAUUUGGGAUGAAUAUAUAAAUAUAGUGUUGAAAUUUUGAUUUUGUGUUUGAUUAGGUUCUUGGUUUAUAUUUUGAAAAUACCAGAUUCAGCCUCACAUCUUUGAAAUAGAUGUUCUGAAGCUUUUAAAUUCUUUUCAUCUAAGGGAAGAGAGAAAGUUUCUUAGAAAAGAAUUCCAGUUUCACUAAAUGGCUCUUGACUUCAGUAACUGAGUUACUGCAUAACAAGAUGAGUCAGAUGGUCCAAGAAGCAGUUCAGAGUUUCUGUUACCAUGACUGUAACAUAUAGGUAGAGGAAUAUUCUCUUUUAUAGUUAUUGUUUAACCCAAGUUGUUGAUUAAAAAGUGAAAAGUUUUCGAACUUUGCAUCCAAUGGAUUUAUUUAUAUUACUAAGGAAUCCUAUACUUAUUUACUGUAACUUUUUUUUUUUUUUUUUUUUU